UGAUGAUGGUGAGGGAAAUUUCUGAGCACACCCUUAAAUCUCUCCCAAUCUUGGUAGAGAUUGUCUCCGUCUUUCUUUCUAAAUCUCAAGAUCUCACUCCUCAAGCA
rnacentral:snoRNA from 1 species